CCACAGUUGCUUAUUAUAUAAAUUCCAAUAAUUGUUUUCACCCGCUUGAUGGUAAAUGCAUUUAGGUUCCUAGAAGUCAACAGACUCAUCAUGUGUAGGGAGGCUCAACUGCGUUGAUUGGGUGAAUAUUGCACUCCGCCACCUCUGAAUAGUGUUCUGGAUGAUGCUUAUGCCCAGAGUAUGUCCAUAUAUACAUUAAAC